CAUUAUUUUGUGUGCUCAUUGCGGACAUGUACUGAUGAGUAAGAUAAGAAAGUUUAAAGCUAACACAGGGGCAAUUGACCACUGUGUCACAAUGUAUAGAACAGAGACUUUCAGUAUAGAAGGAUUUUAGCUUAUGCCUAGAAGUGCCAAGGGUUGGUAAGUAUGGUUUUAAACUGUUCUGCCUUAACAGUCAUUUAUUAAAAAGUGUGCUUUAUAAUCAUCACAGCCAUUCACUAAAAGUGUUCCUUAUAAAAGUGCUCUAGGGCCCUGACAUAUGCCUUAGAUAAUGAUGUGCCUUUCAUAAACAGAUGUGCAGGUGCUAGUCAGAGAUGUGAACAACAGGACGAGGGAGGAAGAUCACUCUGUCCUGAGAAGAUGGGGAGGUGUAAAGGGGGGUUUGCAUGCCCAGCAGUCUGCCCAGUGGGAACUCAGUGAAAGCUUGGAAUACAUGACGCAAAUAUGAUAAAAGGAGACAAGCGCUGGAUGCAUCCAAGGUCAACUUCCCUGAAACCACGGUUUCGGUCAGGUAAAAAAAAUAGAACAAUACGUGCUUGUUUGUCCAUAGAGAAACACUGGGGGCUGCUGGUUAUGUAAACUCUCCGCCCAAAAAGAUGAUGAGACGCCUCCUAGGGUAUAAAUAUUAACUACUGAAAAAUAGUAAUCAGACCACCUCAGAGAUACCAUUGGGUUGAUGUUGUGCUCUCCAAGAUAUCUUGUGUUAUUUGAUGUGCCGAAAUAAAAGGUUUGUUGAAGACACCUUUUUGCCUCAGUGAAUCCUCUGU